AUUGAACGCUGGCGGCAGGCCUAACACAUGCAAGUCGAGCGAGCGGCGGACGGGUGAGUAAUGUAUGGGGACUGCCCGCAAGGGGGGGAUAACUCCUGGAAACGGAUGCUAAUAACGCAUAUUGCCGGAUAACCCAUAGGGGAUUAGCUAGUAGGUAAGGUAAUGGCUUACCUAGGCGACGAUCCCUAGCUGGUCUGAGAGGAUGAUCAGCAACACUGGAACUGAGACACGGCCCAGACUCCUACGGAGGCAGCAGUGGGGAAUAUUGCACAAUGGGCGCAAGCCUGAUGCAGCCAUGCCGCGUGUAUGAAGAAGGCCCUAGGGUUGUAAAGUACUUUCAGUCGGGAGGCGUUACCGACAGAAGAAGCACCGGCUAACUCCGUGCCAGCAGCCGCGGUAAUAC
rnacentral:rRNA from 1 species